AUGAUUGAAGACAUUAGUGCAAUGAAGUUGCAGAAAGGAUUUAAUGUGCACCAUGUUGAAGAACAGAAGCAGAGAGGAGUAGCAAACGAUGUGACUGUAGAAGAGACCAUAGGUAACCCUGAUGGAAAGAUACAAACUAAAGAUGCUAGUGAGGAGAUACAAACCAAAGUCAACAGCACAUAUAUGAAUCUAGCGAAAUUGACCUAUGACAGUCACACAGAGAUGAGUGCAAGUGAAGCAUCCAGCAUGGCAAAUGUGAUGGAAAAUAAUCAGUCUGAAAAAGCUAGUGUGAAGGGGGUGAGAGCAGUGCCAAGAAUGAAGAACCCUGGUGAAAAGAGUAGCACCGAAGACAAUAGUGCAUAG
rnacentral:rRNA from 1 species